rnacentral:rRNA from 1 species
UACGGAGGGGGCUAGCGUUGUUCGGAAUUACUGGGCGUAAAGGGCGCGUAGGCGGUUUACCAAGUCAGGCGUGAAAGGCCUGGGCUCAACCCGGGAACUGCGCUUGAUACUGAGGAGCUUGAGUCCGGGAGAGGUGAGUGGAACUGCGAGUGUAGAGGUGAAAUUCGUAGAUAUUCGCAAGAACACCAGUGGCGAAGGCGGCUCACUGGCCCGGUACUGACGCUGACGGUGCGAAAGCGUGGGGAGCAAACAGGAUUAAGAAACCC